rnacentral:rRNA from 1 species
UACGGAAGGCAGCAGUGGGGAAUAUUGCACAAUGGGCGCAAGCCUGAUGCAGCCAUGCCGCGUGUAUGAAGAAGGCCUUCGGGUUGUAAAGUACUUUCAGUCGUGAGGAAGGUGUUAAGGUUAAUAACCUUAGCAAUUGACGUUAGCGACAGAAGAAGCACCGGCUAACUCCGUGCCAGCAGCCGCGGUAAUACGGAGGGUGCGAGCGUUAAUCGGAAUUACUGGGCGUAAAGGGCACGCAGGCGGUUAAUUAAGUUGGAUGUGAAAUCCCCGGGCUUAACCUGGGAAUGGCAUUCAAGACUGGUUAGCUAGAGUCUUGUAGAGGGGGUAGAAUUCCAUGUGUAGCGGUGAAAUGCGUAGAGAUGUGGAGGAAUACCGGUGGCGAAAGGCGGCCCCUGGACAAAAGACUGACGCUCAUGUGCGAAAAGCGUGGGGAGCAAAACAGGGAUUAGAUACC